rnacentral:rRNA from 1 species
AUUGAACGCUGGCGGCAUGCCUUACACAUGCAAGUCGAACGGCAGCACGGACUUCGGUCUGGUGGCGAGUGGCGAACGGGUGAGUAAUGUAUCGGAACGUACCUUUCAGUGGGGGAUAACGUAGCGAAAGUUACGUUAAUACCGCAUAUUCUGUGAGCAGGAAAGCAGGGGAUCGCAAGACCUUGCGCUGAUUGAGCGGCCGAUAUCAGAUUAGCUAGUUGGUGGGGUAAAGGCCUACCAAGGCUACGAUCUGUAGCGGGUCUGAGAGGAUGAUCCGCCACACUGGAACUGAGACACGGUCCAGACUCCUACGGGAGGCAGCAGUGGGGAAUUUUGGACAAUGGGGGCAACCCUGAUCCAGCCAUGCCGCGUGAGUGAAGAAGGCCUUCGGGUUGUAAAGCCCUUUCGGCCGGGAAGAAAUCGCAUAGGUUAAUACCCUGUGUGGAUGACGGUACCGGAAUAAGAAGCACCGGCUAACUACCUGCCAGCAGCCGCGGUAAUACGUAGGGUGCGAGCGUUAAUCGGAAUUACUGGGCGUAAAGCGUGCGCAGGCGGUUUCGUAAGACAGAGGUGAAAUCCCCGGGCUCAACCUGGGAACUGCCUUUGUGACUGCGAGGCUAGAGUACGGCAGAGGGGGGUGGAAUUCCACGUGUAGCAGUGAAAUGCGUAGAGAUGUGGAGGAACACCGAUGGCGAAGGCAGCCCCCUGGGCCGAUACUGACGCUCAUGCACGAAAGCUUGGGUAGCAAAC